rfam:Bombyx mori DNA, contig: Bm_scaf9_contig8157, strain: p50T/Dazao, build 2, whole genome shotgun sequence.
ACAACAUUCGGACCGUCGGUCUACCGAGCAAUAUCAUCCGCUCGGUGGAAGAUCUUCCCUCCGUCGU